rnacentral:tRNA from 1 species
GGAAAGUUAGAAAAAUUUCUUUUAUUGUAUAAAUAAGAGAUACAUAAACUUAUGUAUCUCUU